rnacentral:rRNA from 1 species
AAAUAAAAUUUGAACAAUACGAACUAUAGUUUAAAAAUCAAAGAUCUUGGCGGUGUUUUAUAAAAUCAGGGGAACCUGUCUUAUAAAUCGAUAAUCCACGAAAUCUUUACCUUUCUUUGAAUUUACAGUAUGUGUACUGCCGUCGUAUGUAUACCUCUAAAAGUUAGAAUACAAAAAUGAACUAAAUCAUUUACGUCAGGUCAAAGUGCAACCAAUAGAAAGGAAAAGAUGGGUUACAACCUAAAUAAAGAUGCUCAAUAAUAUAAUAAAAUUAUUAUGAAGAUGGACUUGAUUGUAAUUUAAGUACAAACCAAAA